rnacentral:rRNA from 1 species
CCUACGGGGGGCAGCAGUGGGGAAUAUUGCACAAUGGGGGAAACCCUGAUGCAGCAACGCCGCGUGAGUGAUGAAGGUCUUCGGAUUGUAAAGCUCUGUCCUUGGGGACGAAAAAAAUGACGGUACCCAAGGAGGAAGCCCCGGCUAACUACGUGCCAGCAGCCGCGGUAAUACGUAGGGGGCAAGCGUUGUCCGGAUUUACUGGGCGUAAAGGGUGAGUAGGCGGUAAUAUGUGUCAGAUGUAAAAGGCUAUGGCUUAACCAUAGUUUGCAUUUGAAACUGUAUUACUUGAGUGCAGGAGAGGUAAGUGGAAUUCCUAGUGUAGCGGUGAAAUGCGUAGAUAUUAGGAGGAACACCAGUGGCGAAGGCGACUUUCUGGACUGUAACUGACGCUGAGGCGCGAAAGCGUGGGGAGCAAACAGGAUUAGAUACCCUUGUAGUC